CUUUUACAUAUUUCUUAUUUUAAUGAAAGUCAUAUACUCACAAUAACACCUAUUCCAAGCCAAUGCCACAGUACUUAUUCUAUUUUCUCCCCUAUAUCUUUAAACUAAAUUCUCAUUCUGCUCAAAGAAGCAGGAGUUGCCUCUAUUGCCUCAUGCAAGAAAAAUAUUUCACAAAUAAUUAACACAAAGUACAAAUAUAUAAUCAUAUUGUUAUUAUCUUUUGAGAUAUUUCUACUAGAUUCAUUCUUACUUGAUAUUUCUGUUUCCCUGUUUUUAAUGUUUUUGAUGUAGCUUAACUGUAAAAUCUCAGACAGUUCUGGGUGUAAAAGCUAUCCUUCCCACAGGAUAUGCGUUGUCCUUACUUAUCCCAAUGCAGAAACACAUCUGACAUCUUAUUCUUUAUCUCUCAGUUCAGAGUGAAAGGGUUCUGAAUGAGCUACAGAGAGAAUGCUCUGCUGUCCUGUGCUAAAGGAGACCACUAGGCAAGGAAGGAUCAGAUGGACUCCCUUGGACCUCUCUUGGAAGCCACUUGUGCAGGUUUCUCACAGCCAACAAGGUUAACAUGCAGCCCUGAUCCUCAACUCCAACUCUCAAAGUUGGCUCUCAGAGCAGAUUUGAAAAGCAGUAAAACAUUCCUUUGGUUGCUAGACCCAUGUAAAAAAGUAUAAUAAAUUUAAAAAGAAAAGCAGUAAAGUGGUGUUUGGGGGCAGUCUGAGCCAUCUGAGAGUUUUCUGAAGGUCUCAUUUGUGCUGUGGUUCUUGGUUUACUGACUCUUCUGAGAGUAUGAUGGAAGCUACCAACACACUCCCCAGAAACAUGCAGUUCACAUAUGAACAAGUUCAUGAAACUAUACAUUGGGUGCUAGGUCAGGAAGUAUGCUAAGUUACAUCUGCUUAUGAAACCCCUUAAUGUGUUCCAGAUGGGAGAAGGUGCGGAGGCAGGAGCAGGGGAUGUGUUCCAGAGCUGUGAAGAAUGAGGAGAGAAAUUAUCACCCAGACACUCACCCUGGCAAAAGGCCUUAAUCCAUUCAUCUCUGUUAGUCACACAGAUAACUAUGGUCAGAUAGAUGGCUUAGUGAAAGCUGUCAGCUAACCAACAAGACAGAGCCUUUUUAGUAAAGAUUAGUAGGCAGGUAGGCAGUGGUUAGAAUGUUGCUCAGUCAGACAAGCAAAUACCGAGUUGAGGUUAGAGCCCAAAGGCUCAAUAUUGUCUCCACAUUCAGAGUGGGAAAAUCUGCUCUGAAUAGAAUCACACAUAACCCCAAAUUGUGGCAUCCUGAAGACAUUUUUAAGCAGACAGAAAGAAAACCUGGAGAUGCAUCGGUGUCCAGAUGAGGCUUCCAUUUGCUGGAAAUGAAGACAGACCUGCUGUGGAAGAACCGCUAGGCAGGGAGGAGGCAAAAUCAGGGCUCAGGGAGCUGACCCCAAGCCAGUUGGUAAUGUUGAGGUGGUUCUGAGGAGCAGAGCUGUCCAGAAGAGGGAAAAGCAGGUGCA
rnacentral:lncRNA from 10 species